rnacentral:rRNA from 1 species
UACGGGGGGGGCAAGCGUUGUUCGGAAUUACUGGGCGUAAAGGGUUUGUAGGUGGCUUGCUAAGUCAGACGUGAAAUCCCUCAGCUUAACUGGGGAACUGCGUCUGAUACUGGCGAGCUUGAGUGCAGGAGAGGAACGCGGAAUUCCAGGUGUAGCGGUGAAAUGCGUAGAUAUCUGGAGGAACACCGGUGGCGAAGGCGGUUCUCUGGGCCUGUACUGACGCUGAGGAGCGAAAGCGUGGGGAGCGAACAGGAUCAGAGUA